rnacentral:rRNA from 1 species
AGUGGAUGGGGAGCAACCUAGUUGUGCGUGUGUAAAGGUAGUGCCAAGAAAAGCGAUGAUCAUGUUGAAAAUCAAUUCCCGGUACCCGAAACCGACACAGGUGGGCAAGUAGAGAAUACUAAGGGGCGCGAGGUAACUCUCUCCAAGGAACUCGGCAAAAUGACCCCGUAACUUAGGGAAAAGGGGUGCCACCGAGAGGUGGUCGCAGUGAAGAGGCCCAGGCGACUGUUUAGCAAAAACAUAGGUCUCUGCAAACUCGAAAGAGGAGGUAUAGGGGCUGACGCCUGCCCAGUGCCGGAAGGUUAAAGAAGUUGGUCAGUUUUAGGAUGAAGCUAGCGACUGAAGCCCCGGUGAACGGCGGCCGUAACUAUAACGGUCCUAAGGUAGCGAAAUUCCUUGUCGGGUAAGUUCCGACCCGCACGAAAGGCGUAACGAUCUGGGCGCUGUCUCGGAGAGAGGCUCGGCGAAAUAGGAUUGUCUGUGAAGAUACGGACUACCUGCAUUUGGACAGAAAGACCCUAUGAAGCUUUACUAUAGCUUGGAAUUGUGUUCGGGCUUCCUGUGCGCAGGAUAGGUGGGAGGCGUAGAAGGUAUUCUUGUGGGGAUACUGGAGCCAACGGUGAGAUACCACUCUCAGGAGGCUAGAAUUCUAACUUAAUUAAGGACAGUUUCAGGUGGGUAGUUUGACUGGGGCGGUCGCCUCCAAAAAGGUAACGGAGGCGUACAAAGGUUCCCUCAGACUGGUUGGAAAUCAGUCGAAGAGUGCAAAGGCAGAAGGGAGCUUGACUGCGAGAAGUACAGUUCGAGCAGGGUGGAAACACGGUCUUAGUGAUCCGACGGUGCUGUGUGGAAGGGCCGUCGCUCAACGGAUAAAAGUUACUUUAGGAUAACAGGCUGAUCUCCCCCAAGAGUUCACAUCGACGGGGAGGUUUGGCACCUCGAUGUCGGCUCAUCGCAACCUGGGGCGGAAGUACGUCCCAAGGGUUGGGCUGUUCGCCCAUUAAAGCGGUACGUGAGCUGGGUUCAGAACGUCGUGAGACAGUUCGGUCCAUAUCCGAUGUAGGCGUGAGAAUAUUGAGAGGAGCCUUCCUUAGUACGAGAGGACCGGGAAGGACGCACCGCUGGUGUACCUGUUAUGAUGCCAAUUGUAAACGCAGGGUAGCCAAGUGCGGAGAGGAUAACCGCUGAAAGCAUCUAAGUGGGAAGCCCACCUCAAGAUGAGUAUUCUGGUGUAAGGUCACGGGAAGACGACCCGUAAAUAGGCACGAGGUGGAAGUGCAGAGAUGUAUGAAGCCGAAGUGUACUAAUAGACCGUCGGCUUGACC